ACGGGUGAGUAAUACAUCGGAACGUGCCCUGUAGUGGGGGAUAACUAGUCGAAAGAUUAGCUAAUACCGCAUACGACCUGAGGGUGAAAGUGGGGGACCGCAAGGCCUCAUGCUAUAGGAGCGGCCGAUGUCUGAUUAGCUAGUUGGUGAGGUAAAGGCUCACCAAGGCGACGAUCAGUAGCUGGUCUGAGAGGACGAUCAGCCACACUGGGACUGAGACACGGCCCAGACUCCUACGGAAGGCAGCAGUGGGGAAUUUUGGACAAUGGGGGCAACCCUGAUCCAGCAAUGCCGCGUGUGUGAAGAAGGCCUUCGGGUUGUAAAGCACUUUUGUCCGGAAAGAAAUCGCACUUACUAAUAUUAGGUGUGGAUGACGGUACCGGAAGAAUAAGGACCGGCUAACUACGUGCCAGCAGCCGCGGUAAUACGUAGGGUCCAAGCGUUAAUCGGAAUUACUGGGCGUAAAGCGUGCGCAGGCGGUUGUGCAAGACCGAUGUGAAAUCCCCGGGCUUAACCUGGGAAUUGCAUUGGUGACUGCACGGCUAGAGUGUGUCAGAGGGGGGUAGAAUUCCACGU
rnacentral:rRNA from 1 species